UACGUAGGGUGCGAGCGUUGUCCGGAAUCACUGGGCUUAAAGCGUGUGUAGGCGGAUCGUUAAGUGUCUUGUGAAAUCCCACGGCUCACCCGUGGAACUGCUGGGCAUACUGGCGAUCUUGGGCCAACUAGGGGCACUGGAACAAGCGGUGGAGCGGUGAAAUGCGUAGAUAUCGCUUGGAACGCCGAAGGUGAAAACAGGCUGCUGGGGUUGCGCCGACGCUGAGACACGAAAGCCAGGGGAGCAAACGGG
rnacentral:rRNA from 1 species